rnacentral:rRNA from 1 species
AGAAAAGAAUACAUUGGAUGGAUGCCCGGGCAUUGAGAAGGAAAAACGUUUUUAAAGGUAAAAGGCCAUGAGGAGAUCUCAUCUGUGAUCCAUGGAUCUCUGAUCGGGAAACCGUAUACAAACUAUGUGGCUAACUUAUGCUCUUUAAACUUUUCAAACUUAGCAAAUGGAAACAUCUUAGUAGCUAAAGGAAGGGAAAUCAACCAAGACCCCGCUAGUAACGGCGAGCGAGAACAGAUUGGGGGUUUUCACAAAAAGAAAGAUGAGGCUUUGUUCAUUGACUGAAGUCGAUCUUCUUCGAACCACUCUGUGGGGUCGAGCGAGUUCCUCAACAAAGUGUGAACGUGAACUUAUUUUUCUUUUUCACCACGUUUCAUGCAAUUUUUUGUGGAUUGGAUGAUAGAAAAACCAGCAAGUCACUUGACCUUUCAUAAGAGGUCAAGGGUCAAAGAAUUUGGUUGUGAAAAGGUUGGAAGAUCUGGAAAAAGAAGAUGGUAGCCUUGUAGAUUCAUUCCCAUGGUUUGAUCCUUCCCAGUCAAAUGCGGCAUGUUCGAAUUCUGAUCGCUUUUACGUGAGAAAGGGGGACUACCUUCUAAGCCUAAGUAUUUCUCAAUGAUCGAUAGCGUACAAGUACCGUGAGGGAAAGGUGAAAAGAACCCUAUUUAGGGAGUGCAGUAAAGAACCUGAGAUCUGAUGCUUUCAAUCAGUCGAAGGAGCGACAAGCCUUGAUUUUCGAUUAUCUUAGUCAAGCUAUCUCACUCUAACGGCGUACCUUUUGCAUGAUGGGUCAACAAGAAAAUGGGAAUUACAACUUAAGCCAUUAGGUGUAGGCGCUUUCCAGAGGUGGAAGAUUCUUGUUCUUCCUAUUUGACCCAAAAUCGAUCGAUCUAGCCAUGAGAAGGUUAAAGAGAGCUCUAACAAGCCUUGGAGGAUCGAACCCAUGUAUGUGGCAAAAUACAUGGAUGACUUAUGGCUAGGGGUGAAAGGCCAACCAAUAUCGAAUAUAGCUAGUUUUCCACAAAAUCUAUUUCUAUAGAGCGUAUAAUGUCGAUGGCCCGAGGUAAAGCCUUCAAUGGGCUAGGGUGGCCCCAUUUGGCCCUACCAACCCUAGGGAAACUCCAAAUACAAACCUAGAUUGUUUGUAAAGACAAACUUUUGGGGUGCUAAGAUCUAAACUCGAGAGGGAAAUAGCCUAGAUCAUCAUUAAGGUCCCUAAGCGAUCACUUAGUGGAAAAGGAAGUUCUCGAGCGAUGACAGCCAGGAGGUGGGCAUGGAAGCAAGCAUCCUUUAAAGAAAGCAUAAUAGCUCACUGGUCUAGCUCUAUGGCAUUGAAAAUGUCUCUGGGGUCAAGUGUCAAUAGCGAGACAUUCUGUCAAUCGGGAAAGGUUUUUGGUGACAAGACCUGGAGAUAUCAGAAGUGAGAAUGCUAACAUUAGUAAUGAGAAAUCCUAUGAAAAGCACGAUCACUUGCCAGUGGAAGGCUUUCUACGUUCAGCCAAUCUAUGCAGAGUGAAUUGAUCCCUAACGAACCCCCAAAAGGACUACCGUUUGAUGGAUACACAAAAGUAACGAAGUAUCUUUGACUACAGAACCAUGCUUAUCUGUUGGAGUGAAUAGAAUGAUCGGGCCAAGGGCAUCCCCCUCUUUCCCUCACUCUACUUUCUUGCUUUGUGGGAUUCACCUUGAUUCAUCAAAUCCUUUCUAACUUGGCCUAGUUCGGUUGCCCUACAAGACUGGCAUGGCUGAAAUGCGAAACUCUUAUCUCCGUUUGGUGACUGCUAUAUGGAGGGCAUACACCUUUUUUUAUUAUCUAAAGGCUUUACUCGGUCCAGCAGGUGAGGCAGGCUUCGGCUCCGUGCACAUGUUAACAAUUUCCUCAGCACUUGAGAGUGUGCACUUUCAUUUUCGAAUGUCUCGUUCAGCCUCACGAGUCUACAAGCCUUUCUCAUUCCAAUGCUUACCUUUGAGCAGGGGUCUCGAGAGAGCGUACCGCCAUACUCGUGAGUUUGUUUAUAGUCACGAUUCUUGUCAUAGUGAACAAGGUUUCAACUUCCAAUAAAAAACCUAUUUUUGGAAGGGCAAUCCUCUUGGUGAACUGAUUGUACCCCAAACUGACAUAGGUGAACAAGUAGAGUAUACUAGGGCGCUUGAGAGAACCAUGUUGAAGGAACUCGAUAAAAUGACCCAGUAACUUUGGGAGAAGGGGUGCUCUCUUAUCUUUUUCUUAAGAAAGCGGCACAUAUCAGGGGGUAGAGCCUGUUUAUUAAAAACACAAAACUUUGCUAAGUGGUAACAUGAUGUAUAGAGUCUGGCACAUGCUCGGUGCUGGAAGGUCAAAAGGAGAAGUGUGAUAAGCUUUGAAUGGAAGCCCCAGUAAACGACGGCAGGAACUCUAACUGUCCUACGAUAGCAAAAAUUCUUGUCGCAUAAGUAGCGACCUGCAUAAUGGUGUCACGAUUGCCCCGCUGUCUCCGACAUGGACCUGAUCAAAUUGAAUUCUUCGUGAAGAUGAGGAGUACUAAUGGCUAGAUGGUAAGACCCUAUGCACCUUCACUAUAACUUCGUAGUGACAACCUUGAUCGAAUAUGUAAGAUAGGUGGGAGUUAGUGACACACAACAACCAAUCCUAAAAGACCACUCUUUCAUCUAAGGAUGCCUAAUCACCGUAUCGAGUUUUCAAGGGGGCGAGACACUGCAAGGUGGGUAGUUUAUCUAGGGUGGACGCUUCCUAAAGAGUAACAGAGGUAUGCGAAGGUAGGCUCAAGCUCAGAUUUUGCUCAUGAGCAUAAUGGUAUAAGCCUACCUGACUGUGAGAUCGACUGGUUGAACAGAGAUAAAAAUUAGCCAUAGUGAUCGAAGAGCUAAGUUGGUAUGGAAGAACUGUUGCGUCGUGGGAAAUCCUUCUCUAUACAAGUUCUCAAACGAUGUUUUUGAACAUCACUUGGAUAGGCAAGAGGUGUAAGCACCGCGAGCUAUCCAAUGAUCUCGUACUAAAUGAAAGGACUUUCACUUU